CCAUUUGUUGAGCUUUUGCUAACCAAUCGGCCACCUUGUUCGUAUUUCUAGUACAAUGGGCUAAAGUAAAUCUUGCAAAUUCUUCUAUUUGCACUUGGCCCGGUCCACUAGAGAUUGCACCUCCCAACUUAGGGUAUCUGAAGUGAGAACCCUAUUCACCAGCGUACAACAAUCAAGUGUAUGUGUAUCUCUCUUUCUAAUCUAUUCGGGGCAAGCUUUGAGGAGAUAAAAUCUAGGGUUUCAACUAAUGCUUUUGCCUCUGCUUGCUCAGCCGAUUUCACCUCUAUAGAUUUAGUAAACCCCAUCAAUAAUUCUACCAAGGGCGUCAGUUGCAGAUGCAAGCCACAGCUCCAUUCGAGGGGGGGGGGUCGCUGCUGGGUGCCAGGAGAGUUUGAAUGAGAAAGAGGGAAGGGGGAAGUUCUGGGGCAGCUCGCGCAUUUGGCCGGAUCAUGAAAGAUACAUUCGAAGACUUCCCCAAGUCAUUUCAGGUACGUUUUGAGAAAACACUGCGAAAAACGAUGGCUCUCCUUGGUUCUCUGGAAAAGGAGGUGCGUUAAAAUUACAAAUGAAGAAUAGUUGGUCGAGGUAGGUGAUUUCGUGGAAGCAUGCAAGAUCUUUCUUUGCAUCUUAUGUUGCUCACGGUGAGCCUGAAUCAGUCAAUAGUUGUUUUGGGAUAAAUAAAUAAAAAUCAGUCUACCGUUCCUCUUAUAAGUUGCAAUUUCGAACAAGCACAAUAGUUUGAUAUCGCUUCUGCAACCAAAGAUCACAGGAAUGGAAUGUCCCAAAGGAAAGUCUCUCCCCCUCGGUGGUGAAUCUUCAUCAUCAUCAAGGAGGGACUACGAGGUGUUCUUGAGCUUCAGAGGGCCCGACACUCGGUUAACCAUCACGGACUCUCUCUACGCGGCCAUGAUCCGAGCCGGGAUUUGUGUCUUCAAAGAUGAUGAAGAGCUCCGUGUUGGGGAAGAGAUCGGAGGCGAGCUUUUGAGAGCAAUCUCCAAUUCGAAAAUCUACAUACCGAUCUUCUCUAAAGACUAUGCUUCCAGUAAAUGGUGUCUCCGUGAGGUCGCAUACAUGGUGGAGUGUAGGAAGAGAGACGAGAAAGUGAUCUUGCCCAUCUUCUAUGGGGUGGAUGCAUCCGAUCUUAAGCUCAGAACUGGAUCGUAUGGUAAGGCCCUGCGAAAGCAUAAGAGACAGUCUGGUGAAGAUACAACAAAGCAGUGGGAGGAGGCCCUUAGAGAAGUCGCUAGAAUUAAGGGAUGGAACUUAAAAGAUUACGGCCAAGAUAAACUUAUAGCCCUUGUUCUGGAAGAAGUUUCUGAUAAGCUAAUGCCUACGCAGAGAAACUGGUGUGAUGGCUUGGUGGGAAUUCACGAUCAGAUGGAAGCCAUUAUGAAGUUGUUAGGCCUAGGCACUUCUGAUGUACGAUUUGUGGUGAUUCACGGUAUGGGCGGUAUCGGAAAAACAACUCUUGCUAAGGCUAUCUUCAAACGUAUCUCUUCCCAAUUCCAAAGUUGCAGCUUUCUUUCAGAUAUCCGUGAAAACGAUAUUUUAAGUCUGCAAAAGAAAUUAUCAAGUGACAUUCUCGGUAUUCGACAUUUUAAAGUUAUUGAUGCUGAUGAGGGGAGGGACGUGAUCAAACAAAAACUCAUGAUAAGAAAGUCGUCAUUGUUCUUGAUGACAUGAGCAAGAGAGACCAACUCAUGAAGCUAGCUGGUGAGUCAAGUUGGUUUGGUUCGGGAAGCAGAAUUAUUAUCACAACUAGAAACACCGAAUUUUUGGCUCCCGAAACUGACACCCUAGAUGACAAUAUCGUCCCUAUGCAUCACCGAGAUUUCUCUUUCUAUGAAAUGAAGGAAUUGCAGUUUCACCAUGCUCUUCAACUAUUCAGCAAGCACUCCUUUGAAAGUGACUCACCUCCACAUGACUACAUCAAAAUUUCACGUGAAAUUGUUGAAACCACUGGAGGACUACCAUUGGCUCUCGAGGUUUUAGGUUCUUUACUCUAUUCAAAAGGCAAGAAAACAUGGAAAGACACAUUGAAGAAAUUGAAGGAAGUGCCCAAUCAAGAUGUCCAGAAAAAGUUGUUGAUAAGUUAUGAAAAUUUAGAAUACGAGCAACAACAAAUUUUUCUUGAUAUCGCAUGUCAUUGCAUUGGUGAAGAAAGAAUCUCCGCAUAUUACAUGUGGAAAGCUUGUGAUUUUUUCCCAAAUACCGGAGUCCGUGUUCUUAUUCAUUUGUCUUUGAUAAAACUCAAGCAUGAUAGAUUGUGGAUGCACGACCAACUCAGAGAUCUUGGAAGAGAGAUUGUCAGGCGAGAAUGCUUUAUAGUUCCUGGAAAGCGCAGUAGAUUGUGGCAUCCGACGGUUGCCUUAGAAGUGGUUCAGAAUAACCUGGGAACAGAAAACAUUGUAGCACUCAAACUCACAAGACUUGCCGACGGGCAUAAUUUUACGAGUGGUGAAUUUUCAAGGCUGCCUAGUUUAAGAUUCCUUGAAUUGGAUGGGGGAAACUUUGUAGGAGACUUCAAAAAUCUUCUCUCUAAGCUGACAUGGCUCUCUUGGCGUCAUUGCCCUUCAAAACUACAUGCCACUGGUUUAUGUCUAAGGAACUUGGCUGUUCUCAAGCUUUUAGAGAGCAAUAUUACUGAAGACUGGAAUGGAUGGGGAGCAUGCAUGGUAAAUGACAAGCUGAAAGUCAUAUAUUUGGCAAGCUGCAAUUAUUUAAAGAGGACACCCGACUUCUCCAAGUGCAUGAAUUUGAAAAACCUGGUUCUCAAAGAUUGUGCAAGAUUGGAAGAAAUUGAUAGCUUUAUUAAUCAACUAGGCCGCCUGAAGUAUUUGGAAAUCAAAGGGAAGGAUCAUUUGCCGCAGAGAAAUAUUUUACUAACCGUUCCUCUAUUACUAGACUCAAUUGGUGGUCUAAAAUCCUUGUCAAUGCUAAAGGUGGAAUAUCACGAUGGGGUUAGAAAACUUCCGCACUCAAUAGGAGAAUUAUUGGGUUUGAAGCAUCUAUCUUUACAUAGUUGUUGCAACCUUAGAGAGCUUCCGGAUUCUAUUGGAAAGUUGAGAUCGCUCCUCCAUUUGGAUUUAAAACACACUGGUGUAAGUGCAUUACCAGAUUCCAUCGGAAGACUAGAAUCGCUACUCAGAUUGAUUCUAUCUCAUACACAAAUUGCAGAAUUACCCCGUUCUAUUGGCAACCUUAAACGGUUAGAGCUCAUGCAUUUGUCUUAUACUAAGAUAAGAGAGUUACCGAAGGGCAUAUGGACUCUAGAGAAUCUUGAGGAGCUACUUGUCAAUGUGUGUAACAAUUUCGAGGGUGAAAUUCCAAGUGAAAUUGCAAGACUAUCUCAAUUGAAGAUUCUGGACUUGUCCUGGACAAAGGUUAGUAGACUGCCAAUGACAAUCAAUCGGCUCUUUAACCUCGGAGUACUUGAAAUAAGGUCUUGUACGAGGCUUCAAUCACUACCAGAUCUCCCCACAAGUUUAACAGACCUACAUUUAGCAUCUUCGUCAUUGCAGGUAGUACCUGACCUCUCGAACCUGUCUAAUUUAUAUUAUUUGACAAUAAGUGAUUGCGAUUAUAACCAUGAGUUGUCCAUAAUUGAACGAGGACAAAUUCUACAUCCAAACCUAGAGUGGCUCGGAAGGCUUCAUAAUUUGCGUGCCUUAGAUGUGGUUUUUUGGGAUUCCAACAUGCACCCGACUGACUUGCGCUCCCUUUCCCAACUCAAACGUCUUGAAAUAACUUGUGCCGACCUACGGUCUCUGAUUGGGCUUCCGUCCAGUUUAGUAGACUUGAGCUUAAGGGAUGUGAAGACCCCAAUAGAAUGGUCAAUGUUCUCCAACUUGUGCAACCUGUGUGAAAUACAGCUCUUGGGCUGUCAGUUAAGAGAGAUCGAGUUAGACAACGUGCUCGAACAGCUAAAGAAACUCCAGCGAGUGGUAGUGCACAAGUCUGAGGCGCUUGUGAGGCUAUCCAAUGUAUCGAGUUUAAAGGAGCACCAAGAUCUGUGGGUGGUGUACUGCCCGCUACUAAUUGAGAUCGAAUCGAAACCGUCUUUAACUGGAGAUUGCAGUUCCACGGAAAGGCCCAUCCCUGAUACUCUGAAACUAGAGAAGCUAGGGCAGUUGACAGUCGAAUAUUGUGCAUCACUGCAAAAGAUACCAAAUGCAUGUUGUACGGAUGUUGUGGGAUGCCCCAGGCUAGUUGGUUUUGAUGACUUUGGGCGUCGUUUAUGAUAUUGAAGGGAUGAGCCCAGUAGAGCUUUCGGACCUCCUCGACUAAUUAUGGGCCUCUCCUGACAGAGACAAUUUCGAGCUCUUUCAGAGAGUGAGCAGAAAAGGGGACUUUUGGCGCAAUUUGGUUCGGAGGCCAUGACGAGCUAGAUUGAUACCAUUUUGAGGCACUCGGAUUUUUAAGCUUCUUGAGCAGUAAAGCUUUUGAUUUGGCUUUUGGUUAGUGAGGAGUGGUGCUUGUCUCUUCUUAAAUUUGUAAGUUCGCGGCUUGAAAAUCACAAGAAUUAGAUGUGCUAUAUAAGUUAUGAAUGAGACAUUGCACAUUAUGAUAUUUAUUUAUUUUUAAAAAUGGUGUUUAGAACAUCUUUGAUGUAUAAAGUUGGAUCUUGCAUUUACUACCUUGUUUGGUUAUUUGAAAUAGCAUAGUAAAAUAUCUCCUGAAAUAGUUGGAGAGUUCAUUAUUUAUGAAAUGGUUUGAGAAAUUUUUCAUUAAUGUAUUCUUCUUGUGGAUGGAAUUGCGAAGGGUUGUAUUGGUUUGUGACUCUAGUUUAUUAAAAUGAGUUUUGAAAUGAGUUUGUUGUUGACGGGAUUAUGUUGAUGGUUUUAUCCUCUUGUCGCUAUGAUCUGAAAUCAUUGAAGGGUUGUGAGUAAGCAUACAUGUUCUCAGGACGUCUUGAAUGGCCAAAGCCACCGGCUGACAUUAGUGGAGACCUAUGCCUAGAGAGGAUAUCUUGGUAAGCCUUGUCAUGGGGCAUUAAAAAUGGCUAUAGUUUGAUAUGAGGUACUAGAGUAAUCAAUGGACUAGACCAUUGA